UACGGAGGGUGCGAGCGUUGUCCGGAUUUAUUGGGUUUAAAGGGUGCGUAGGUGGCUAUUUAAGUCAGUGGUGAAGUACAGCCGCUCAACGGUUGAGGUGCCAUUGAUACUGAUUAGCUUGAAAUAAUUGGAGGCUGCCGGAAUGGAUGGUGUAGCGGUGAAAUGCAUAGAUAUCAUCCAGAACACCGAUUGCGAAGGCAGGUGGCUACGAUUUAUUUGACACUGAGGCACGAAAGCAUGGGGAGCAAACAGG
rnacentral:rRNA from 1 species